rfam:Picea glauca, whole genome shotgun sequence.
GUACAUGCCUACAACAUAGAAUCAAUGCACUGGAUCCCAUUAAAACUAUGCAGUUAAGCGCGCUCGGGCUAGAGUAGUAGAGUAUUACUGGGAUGGGUGACCGCCCGGGAAGUCCUGGUAUUUUAC